UUUUUUUUUUGGGUAUUAUCGGGUAUUUUUGGGUAAUUUGGAUAAAUUUAGAUACAUUUGGAUAAAAAGUAACCAAUCCGGACGGUACCCGAUAAAUAUUCAGUUAUUUUCCGGUUCUUCAAUCAAUUAUCCGAACCGACCCAAACCCGAAAAAUACCGAACCAAAAUUUUAUAAUAUCCGAAUGGAUCCUAAAUCUUUAGUACCGGAAUACCCAAAACCCGAAAUACCCAAACCGAACUCGAACCGAUACCCGAAUGCCGAGGCCUAAAUUACAUAUUAAUAUAGCCCAAAAUAAAAACUCUUAACGAGAUAUCUAGAUCCUUCCCAACCCUAACAUAUAUAUAAUAAUAAUAUAUAUACGGCAGAUGGUGAAAUAGUUGGAAAGAAAAGCGAGAAACUUUAGAAGAAAAACAUGGAGCUGAGAGUUUGUUCGUAAAAAAAAAACGAAAAGGGAUGUGACCAAAUCCGUGGAGUCCAGUGACUUUGAGACCUCUACCGUUAGCUCCCAGGUCGGCAAUGGAUGCAACCAAGUCUUGAACCGGAAGCGCAAACUGAAACAAAAGCCAGCGGAGGUUGCUUCUGAUGUGGAAGUUGACUCGGACGGUUCGAGAGAGGCGAGGAUUAGGUAUCUGUCUUCCCUCAAAGCUUCGGCAUCAACAGAUUCUUCGCAUCUUAAGGUCUUCCUCGCUGAAGUAUAUGGAGUGGAGGAAGAUUCUUGGCUUCCUUCGAAGGAGUUUGGGCAAUUGUUUCCUUAGUUUGAGCUCGAGGACAACAAGCUGGUUAUCCGGGAAAGGAGUAUUGAUACGGUGCACCAGCGGUAUUCUCGAAGGAAGCCGUUGAAGGACAACAAGCUGGAUUGAUGUGCUUGAGCUCGAGCACGUAGAUCUUUUGUUUUGUUAUCAGAUUAAGCUACUCUUGUAAUCGGAUUUGUUAAUUACAAUAUCAGUAAACUUCAAAUUCUACUCUA